GCUUUUUGCAGGUCAUUGGAUGAAAAGAUUCAUCAGCAAAGAAACCGACAGGCCACAUUAUCUUCCACCAUUUAUGAAGCUUAAUGAACCAAAAAAGGCUCAAAUGACCUCAUGGUUAUAUUUCUUUGCUGCUGAUAGGAGGGAGUGAACAUCAAGAAGCAGCUUUCAGCCAGCUGCUCGUCUUUUACCACGUGACUGACAUCACUUCCUCAUUCGUCUGCUUGUUUUUUUUUUUGAGUUCACCACACUCAUCGCCUUCAUCAUUAUCACUCUAACAAAACGCCAUCAAAGUAACAAAAUGAUUGCCAUUUUAAUUUUCUGUUGCCUUACAGGUUUUUCUCUGGGGAUCGACAUCCACCAGUUUCCCUCGAAUAUCGUCAGCAACACCAGUGAAGAUGUUCAACUUUUCUGCUCACACAACCAGUCAUCGUACAGAGUCGUACUCUGGUACCAGAAGACUCCUGGAGACCAGGCUCUGAACCUCAUCGGAUAUGGAUACGGACAGAUCAGCAACGACAGCGUGGAGGAAAAGUUCAGGAAACAUUUUAGGUUAGGUGGAGAUUUAGCGGCAGCCAAGAAGAACCUCUCUCUUUCCAUCGCCGGUCUGAAAGCCGAACACACGGCGACGUACUUCUGUGCUGCAAGGGAAGCACACUGCGCCAAACAUCCAGCAGCCCUGAACAAAAACCUCCAACCUACGGCCUCAUGUUAUCUCCUCUCUGAAUCUAGACGGAGCCCAGCAGCCAUCACUGUCAAGACGACUAGCUCAGCACAUUUCAGCAACAACGCAGUUCAAAGGGCUUUAUACCAUACAUUCAAUUAUGAAACGAGCAAUAAACCUUAAAUUUUGACAAAUGCAAUCAUCCAAAUCAUCGCACCAACACACAUCAAAUGUAUUGAUCAACGUUUCACUUAACGAUAAUCAAAGGCAGCGCUAAGUAGGUGGGUUUUUAGCCUUUACUUAAAGGAACUCAGUAUUUCGGCUGUUUUCCGGGUUUCUAAAGGUUUGUUCCAGAUUCCAGGUGCAUAAAAGCUGAACGCUGCUUCUCCAUGUUUGGUUCUGGUUCUGGGAACGCAGAGCAGAGCAGAACCAGAAGAUUUGAGAGGUCUGGAAGGUUGAUACACAGCAGCAGGUCUUUAAUGUACUUUAGUGUCAGGAGGUUCAGUGACUUAUAAACUAACACAAGUGUCUUAAAGUCUACAGGGAGCCAGUGGAAGGCCAGUAGAAGUGGGCCGAUGCGUUCUGCGUCACCUGCAGCUGUCUGAUCAAAAUGUUUCAAAGCUUUAUAUUCCCUGUGUUAAAAAAAACAACAAAAGCAUGCGAGUUUAGCACAUGAGACUUCAAGUAAUUGGAGAUUUUGUGAAGGAAUAUUUCACAUCCUGUAGACAGGUGGUCAUGUGACUUCCUGGUUUGUUUCUCAUAAUCAGCGUCGUUUCAUCGCCUCCUCCAUUCAGCUGCAGCCAGAUCGUUGCCGACAUGUUUGUGACCGUCUUUUAUCUGUCACUUUUGACGCACUCAGGUUUCUCUAUUGUAAUUCUUCAGUCUCAACAUCAAAUCUCUUCCCCCGGAGACAGCGUGACGUUUGAGUGCAGGUUGGGAACAGGCCAAGGCAUGGGCAGCCAAACCAUGCUCUGGUACCGGCAGAGGAGCCACGGGGCCCAAAUGGAGUUCAUCCUCAAAGAAUACGAAGAAACUGUUGGACGUUACCGGUCUCAGAUCGAUCCGUCGCAAAAUCUGUUCUCUCUUCAAAUCCCAAAGUUGUUUCCGAAUGACAGCAGCACCUACUAUUGUGCCGCUAGUCACAGUGAUGCAUGCAGAUCAGACAGUCAUACAAAUAACGAGACCAUCUGUGGUGUGCAGGCAGGAAGGAGCCGUGGCUUGUCUGACUAUCAGAGAAAGUGACAAAAAUGGUGAAAAUGGCUAAUUUUACAUGAAUGGAACUGCAGUUCCACAUGGACUUUAGAUAUUUAUAUAAACAGGAAGAAGGCUUUUUGCUGUUGCAAAUGAAUAUGUGCGUUUGGGUGAUACAUUCUUAUUAUGAGUGCAGGAAUAGAAAAAAAAUCAGUGUGAUUCUCACGACAGUGUUGUAGUCAAGACCAUCGAACCCGAGACCAAGUCAAGACCCAGACCAGCACUACAUGACAAUAAAAUAUGAAAUCUGAUCAAAAUUAAUUCUCAAAUUGAUCUGAAAGAUCCACAUUCCCAUAAAAACAGCCAAAUAUUAAGCACAGUAAAUUUAACCAAUAUCAUUAUCAACUCAAACUCUUCUAUGUUCUGCUUUGCUUCCACCUCAAUUAAACAGUGCCGUUUGACAGCCAAUAGGAAUACAGAGACCUGUUGAGGAAAGCUGUUACCGUGGAAACGGAUUUAAAUAAUAAAUUAUUCAGCUCCCAUCAGUCUCCUACAGUCUGGUAGUAUUGAUGGGACUUUAUGGCUCUUUGAAAGAAAUCUACAAGGUUCUGUUCACUUCAACAGAUCCAGUUCUGAAAAUAUACAUUUCUGA